CGGGUGUGGUCCAUGAGACCCUUUUUGUGGAGGUCCCAAAAGUGAGUAGUCUCUGCAGUGACUUUUGAAUGGCUCUUCCUCAGUCGGUGAAGUUCGUCAUCCAGCUUCUUUGAUUUCUUCAUCAAAUGAUGAACUUUCCUUCUGAGAUCCCAGAUCAUCGACUUCAGAGGAAUCUCCUGUGGUAGAGGAAGAGCUUCGGUAGAGCACUGUUGUUGG
rnacentral:lncRNA from 1 species